UUUUUUUCCCACUCUCACGGUGUUUGAAGUUUCAGCGCGCAUCGCUGACCUGACAAGAGGCGUAUUCCCUAAACCGGCAAAUCCAGCGCUAUUGAAGCAAAAUCCGAUUACAUUUCAAUGUACAAGUGCAAUGUACCCUGUAAACAAUGAUCAUACUGACACCCAGUGGUGUAAUGGAAUAUUACACCCUAUUCAGGAAAAUGGCAGUCGUCACAGACUUAAAGAUACAAUAGCAACUGCAGAAAUGCGGUCAGAGGAGGAGACAGCCGCCGCAGUGCUGCUCAGUCCGAAACACAGCUACAGGCACUGCCUCAGUCACAGAACGUUCUGGAGCCUAAUACCACCGCAGGGCUGCAGUCCUGCCAAAGACCGACAGGCAUCAGUACAUGUUCAUGAAGCCCAGCAGGCUUGUGAUGUCGCUGACACCUGGUGCCAAGCAAAGCAAAGCUCAUUUCCUGUUUUUCUGAGGACUGGGAAUCUGUGGGGGAUGCAGCUACAGGAGCUCGUCAGGAGCCUGGGACAGGUCAGCCAUGGGUCUGCCGUGAAAUUCAGAAUAACAUCACAUUACCGAGAAAUGAGCCAUCAUCUUUACACCAGCCGCACAACGUCA